rnacentral:rRNA from 1 species
AGCAGCCGCGGUAAUUCCAGCUCCAAUAGCGUAUAUUAAAGUUGUUGCAGUUAAAAAGCUCGUAGUUGAAUUUCGGGAUUAAUAUGUUGGUCGUGCCUUGGUACGUACUGGCAUUAUUGAUUCCUACCUUCUGAAGAACCUCGAUGUCAUUAAUUUGGUGUCUUGGGGAAUCAGGACCGUUACUUUGAAAAAAUUAGAGUGUUUAAAGCAGGCUCGCGCUUGAAUACAUUAGCAUGGAAUAAUGAAAUAGGACGUUUGAUUCUAUUUUGUUGGUUUCUAGGAUCGACGUAAUGAUUAAUAGGGAUAGUUGGGGGCAUUAGUAUUCAAUUGUCAGAGGUGAAAUUCUUGGAUUUAUUGAAGACUGACUACUGCGAAAGCAUUUGCCAAGGAUGUUUUCAUUAAUCAAGAACGAAAGUUAGGGGAUCGAAGACGAUCAGAUACCGUCGUAGUCUUAACCAUAAACUAUGCCGACUAGGGAUCGGAUGAUGUUAAUUUUUAAUGACCCAUUCGGCGCCUUACG